rnacentral:tRNA from 1 species
AGGCCAGUAGCUCAAUGGCAGAGCACCGGUCUCCAAAACCGGGGGCUGUAGGUUCAAGUCCUGCCUGGCCUGCCA